rnacentral:rRNA from 1 species
AGUUUGAUCCUGGCUCAGGACGAACGCUGGCGGCGUGCUUAACACAUGCAAGUCGAACGGUAAGGCCCUUCGGGGUACACGAGUGGCGAACGGGUGAGUAACACGUGGGUGAUCUGCCCUGCACUUCGGGAUAAGCCUGGGAAACUGGGUCUAAUACCGGAUAGGACCAUGGACUUCACGGUUUGUGGUGGAAAGCUUUUGCGGUGUGGGAUGGGCCCGCGGCCUAUCAGCUUGUUGGUGGGGUAAUGGCCUACCAAGGCGACGACGGGUAGCCGGCCUGAGAGGGUGUCCGGCCACACUGGGACUGAGAUACGGCCCAGACUCCUACGGGAGGCAGCAGUGGGGAAUAUUGCACAAUGGGCGCAAGCCUGAUGCAGCGACGCCGCGUGAGGGAUGACGGCCUUCGGGUUGUAAACCUCUUUCAAUAGGGACGAAGCGCAAGUGACGGUACCUAUAGAAGAAGCACCGGCCAACUACGUG